UACAGGCUUAACACAUGCAAGUCGAGGGGCAGCAUGGUCUUAGCUUGCUAAGGCCGAUGGCGACCGGCGCACGGGUGAGUAACACGUAUCCAACCUGCCGUCUACUCUUGGACAGCCUUCUGAAAGGAAGAUUAAUACAAGAUGGCAUCAUGAGUCCGCAUGUUCACAUGAUUAAAGGUAUUCCGGUAGACGAUGGGGAUGCGUUCCAUUAGAUAGUAGGCGGGGUAACGGCCCACCUAGUCUUCGACGGAUAGGGGUUCUGAGAGGAAGGUCCCCCACAUUGGAACUGAGACACGGUCCAAACUCCUACGGGAGGCAGCAGUGAGGAAUAUUGGUCAAUGGGCGAGAGCCUGAACCAGCCAAGUAGCGUGAAGGAUGACUGCCCUAUGGGUUGUAAACUUCUUUUAUAAAGGAAUAAAGUCGGGUAUGGAUACCCGUUUGCAUGUACUUUAUGAAUAAGGAUCGGCUAACUCCGUGCCAGCAGCCGCGGUAAUACGGAGGAUCCGAGCGUUAUCCGGAUUUAUUGGGUUUAAAGGGAGCGUAGAUGGAUGUUUAAGUCAGUUGUGAAAGUUUGCGGCUCAACCGUAAAAUUGCAGUUGAUACUGGAUAUCUUGAGUGCAGUUGAGGCAGGCGGAAUUCGUGGUGUAGCGGUGAAAUGCUUAGAUAUCACGAAGAACUCCGAUUGCGAAGGCAGCCUGCUAAGCUGCAACUGACAUUGAGGCUCGAAAGUGUGGGUAUCAAACAGGAUUAGAUACCCUGGUAGUCCACACGGUAAACGAUGAAUACUCGCUGUUUGCGAUAUACUGCAAGCGGCCAAGCGAAAGCGUUAAGUAUUCCACCUGGGGAGUACGCCGGCAACGGUGAAACUCAAAGGAAUUGACGGGGGCCCGCACAAGCGGAGGAACAUGUGGUUUAAUUCGAUGAUACGCGAGGAACCUUACCCGGGCUUAAAUUGCAGAUGAAUUACGGUGAAAGCCGUAAGCCGCAAGGCAUCUGUGAAGGUGCUGCAUGGUUGUCGUCAGCUCGUGCCGUGAGGUGUCGGCUUAAGUGCCAUAACGAGCGCAACCCUUGUUGUCAGUUACUAACAGGUUCCGCUGAGGACUCUGACAAGACUGCCAUCGUAAGAUGUGAGGAAGGUGGGGAUGACGUCAAAUCAGCACGGCCCUUACGUCCGGGGCUACACACGUGUUACAAUGGGGGGUACAGAGGGCCGCUACCACGCGAGUGGAUGCCAAUCCCCAAAACCUCUCUCAGUUCGGACUGGAGUCUGCAACCCGACUCCACGAAGCUGGAUUCGCUAGUAAUCGCGCAUCAGCCACGGCGCGGUGAAUACGUUCCCGGGCCUUGUACACACCGCCCGUCAAGCCAUGGGAGCCGGGGGUACCUGAAGUGCGUAACCGCGAGGAGCGCCCUAGGGUAAAACUGGUGACUGGGGCUAAGUA
rnacentral:rRNA from 1 species